rnacentral:tRNA from 2 species
AGCCCCAUAGUUCAAUGGAUAGAACAAAAGUUUCCUAAACUUUAGAUCUAGGUUCGAUUCCUAGUGGGGCUACUA